UCGUACGCGAAAGGGGAGCAAUCCCUGAGUAGAGUGGCAAACGGGUGAGUAACACGUGGGUGACCUGCCUCAGAGUGGGGGAUAACGUCCCGAAAGGGACGCUAAUACCGCAUAACAUCCUGCCUUUGGAAAGGCGGAGAUCAAAGCCGGGGAUCGCAAGACCUGGCGCUUGGAGAGGGGCCCGCGUCUGAUUAGCUAGUUGGUAGGGUAAUGGCCUACCAAGGCGACGAUCAGUAUCCGGCCUGAGAGGGCGGACGGACACACUGGGACUGAGACACGGCCCAGACUCCUACGGGAGGCAGCAGUGGGGAACUGUUCGCAAUGGGCGCAAGCCUGACGACGCAACGCCGCGUGGAGGAUGAAGAUCUUCGGGUCGUAAACUCCUGUCGAGCGGGAAGAACACUUUCCGGGCGAAUAUCCCGGAAGGCUGACGGUACCGCUAAAGGAAGCCCCGGCUAACUCCGUGCCAGCAGCCGCGGUAAUACGGGGGGGGCAAGCGUUG
rnacentral:rRNA from 1 species